GAAAUUUCAUUUUACUUGUAGUUCUAAGAAGUUCCUUAAAAGAAUGGCAAUCAAGUGAGAGUAAAAUGUCAGGUCUUUGUGGUUGUUUCUUUCCAGUGCUCCACUUUGGGAUACUGAGCCGUCACUGAGGUCUGUCCCACACAGCUGAUGGCACCUUGUCCAGAGCAGAGCCCUGUGAAUGCACUGAUGUGGAUGCAACGACCUCUGUCUCCUCCUCCAUUCUGCCAAAGGAUAUAAGGGCUUGAGAAAGCAAGUUGUAUGCAUGUGAGUCACUCAGCGUGUGAAGUGUUUGCACAGUCAUCCCAGGAUUUUCCACCUAGUCUUUGAGUUGGGUUAUGGAUCAAAAGCAGAUGAGUCUCUCAUCUUGUGAACUUUUGGGAAAAAAUAAAGGAUGUGAAGGACAUCUGAUUCAAUGCUAUCCAAAAUUUGGUAGCUGCUCAGUGUUGGUGCAGAACUGAAGAUGUGGUGCUUCUACUUGGAGAGAUGGGAUGUCACACCUAUGCCAUGUACUUCAGAUGUCCAGGUGGUGGUGCUUCCGCAGGAAAUUCUCAUCAAGAGCCGCAUGCACAGAAAAUAUUUGAGGGCUCUGCAGUGAAAAUAAAAUGAUACAGAAUCCUUCUGGGAGGGCCAGCAUCAAAGAGGAAUCUGGUUCAAGAACCCUGUUGGAGUCAGCAUAUGAACCACAUCAGGACCUUCCUCACCUAACAUCA
rnacentral:lncRNA from 1 species